GUGGCUAUAGCUCAGCGGUAGAGCACCUGGUUGUGGUCCAGGGGGUCGCGGGUUCAAUCCCCGUUAGCCACCCCA
rnacentral:tRNA from 1 species